rnacentral:rRNA from 1 species
GAUGAACGCUGGCGGCGUGCCUAAUACAUGCAAGUCGAGCGAACGGACGAGAAGCUUGCUUCUCUGAUGUUAGCGGCGGACGGGUGAGUAACACGUGGAUAACCUACCUAUAAGACUGGGAUAACUUCGGGAAACCGGAGCUAAUACCGGAUAAUAUUUUGAACCGCAUGGUUCAAAAGUGAAAGACGGUCUUGCUGUCACUUAUAGAUGGAUCCGCGCUGCAUUAGCUAGUUGGUAAGGUAACGGCUUACCAAGGCAACGAUGCAUAGCCGACCUGAGAGGGUGAUCGGCCACACUGGAACUGAGACACGGUCCAGACUCCUACGGGAGGCAGCAGUAGGGAAUCUUCCGCAAUGGGCGAAAGCCUGACGGAGCAACGCCGCGUGAGUGAUGAAGGUCUUCGGAUCGUAAAACUCUGUUAUUAGGGAAGAACAUAUGUGUAAGUAACUGUGCACAUCUUGACGGUACCUAAUCAGAAAGCCACGGCUAACUACGUGCCAGCAGCCGCGGUAAUACGUAGGUGGCAAGCGUUAUCCGGAAUUAUUGGGCGUAAAGCGCGCGUAGGCGGUUUUUUAAGUCUGAUGUGAAAGCCCACGGCUCAACCGUGGAGGGUCAUUGGAAACUGGAAAACUUGAGUGCAGAAGAGGAAAGUGGAAUUCCAUGUGUAGCGGUGAAAUGCGCAGAGAUAUGGAGGAACACCAGUGGCGAAGGCGACUUUCUGGUCUGUAACUGACGCUGAUGUGCGAAAGCGUGGGGAUCAAACAGGAUUAGAUACCCUGGUAGUCCACGCCGUAAACGAUGAGUGCUAAGUGUUAGGGGGUUUCCGCCCCUUAGUGCUGCAGCUAACGCAUUAAGCACUCCGCCUGGGGAGUACGACCGCAAGGUUGAAACUCAAAGGAAUUGACGGGGACCCGCACAAGCGGUGGAGCAUGUGGUUUAAUUCGAAGCAACGCGAAGAACCUUACCAAAUCUUGACAUCCUUUGACAACUCUAGAGAUAGAGCUUUCCCCUUCGGGGGACAAAGUGACAGGUGGUGCAUGGUUGUCGUCAGCUCGUGUCGUGAGAUGUUGGGUUAAGUCCCGCAACGAGCGCAACCCUUAAGCUUAGUUGCCAUCAUUAAGUUGGGCACUCUAAGUUGACUGCCGGUGACAAACCGGAGGAAGGUGGGGAUGACGUCAAAUCAUCAUGCCCCUUAUGAUUUGGGCUACACACGUGCUACAAUGGACAAUACAAAGGGCAGCGAAACCGCGAGGUCAAGCAAAUCCCAUAAAGUUGUUCUCAGUUCGGAUUGUAGUCUGCAACUCGACUACAUGAAGCUGGAAUCGAUAGUAAUCGUAGAUCAGCAUGCUACGGUGAAUACGUUCCCGGGUCU